CAGUAGCCGCGGUAAUACGUAGGGUGCGAGCGUUAAUCGGAAUUACUGGGCGUAAAGCGAGCGCAGACGGUUACUUAAGCAGGAUGUGAAAUCCCCGGGCUCAACCUGGGAACUGCGUUCUGAACUGGGUGACUAGAGUGUGUCAGAGGGAGGUAGAAUCCCACGUGUAGCAGUGAAAUGCGUAGAGAUGUGGAGGAAUACCGAUGGCGAAGGCAGCCUCCUGGGAUAACACUGACGUUCAUGCUCGAAAGCGUGGGUAGCAAACAGGAUUAGAGACCCCUGUAGUCCCUGUCUCUUAUAC
rnacentral:rRNA from 1 species